rnacentral:lncRNA from 1 species
CACCCCCAGCAUAUGGAGGUUCCCAGGCUAGGGGUCCAUUUGGAGCUGUGGCUGCCUGCCUACACCAGAGCCACAGCACUACGAGAUCCAAGCCACGUCUGCGACCUACACCACAGCUCACGGCAACCCCAGAUCCUUAACCCACUGUGGAGGCCAGGGAUCGAACCUUUGUCCUCAUGGAUGCUAGUCUGUUCAUUAACCACUGAGCCACGAUGGAUAAGUACCCCAAAAUAACUACAAAAUACAUAAAAACAUAAUGUGUAAAACACUGCACUGAGGGGAUGACACAUAUAGUACUGUGUAUAUAUUGGUAUUAUAUCCAUACCAAUAUUUAUUCCACAUUUAAUGAAUACUUACUAAGUGUCAGGCAGUUUUAAGAGAAUUACAGCAUCCUAAAAGAACAAAAAGCCUUGGUCUACAAAGACAAAAAAAUCCUUAUAUGUUAUCAGCAAAGAGCUUAUAUUAUCAGCAACAACCAAAUUGCCAUUAGGCUGCCCAUCAAUCAGGGGUUAUAGGAAAAUACACCAAUGAAGAUAGCAGGCCACCUUACAUUAUUCCAAACUAACCUGAUUCCCAUGGGUUAAUUCUUAGCAGACUCCUACAAAUUCUACAAUAUACCUUUGAGCUCCAUGACUCUGUCAGAAAUUCAUUGAUUUUAAAGAGGUUCACACAACCUGUUAAAAGCAGUAUGUCUAUAUCCUACAUUAUAAUUUCAGACCUAGGGUACAAUGCUUGUAUAUGAUAUGCCAAUUGUUCAAUCCCAGGUAUUGAUAGAUAUACCAUAUAAUCUCUUAACUAGAAAAUAAUUGUGCCAAAAGUAUCAAACUACCAAUUAUAGAUGAGUCACUAAAAUUACUAAAAGAUAUACUGACCCCUUGGACUUGGGUUCACUAUAUUUGGUCUAACAUCAGAGGGAACAUUGUGGAUCAAAGGAACCCCCUUGCAAGCAGAACUUAAGUUAGACACUUAACAUUACCUUCAACAUAUUUUUAAGCUUCUACAAAGUGCAAAUAAACUGGAAAUUAUAACAGGCUGCCAAGGUAUCAUGAAUUGCAGAGAAAAGUAAUGGAUGAUGAUCAACAAUUUAACAUGAAAAAAUAAUGGACAAAACUUUAUCUAGAGACAUCAUGAAAAAGACUGCAUUUAUGACUGACAUGAUUUCUGACCCAGAAUUACAAUAAUUUUAGCAAGAACACCUAACAGACAAAAGGAGGUCCCUUAGGACCUUUUAAUAAUUAGAAUUUAAUCCUGUUGGUGGAGAUAUAUAUACGGUGAUAAGUCCAUUGCGACAAUACCAAAAGUCUUUUAGAGAACAAGAUCUACCAAUGUUAGAUCAGUUACUUGGCCUCAAAGAUGGGUUCUGCCUUAGAGCACAACUUUGAUGAUGAAAUUCCCCUGAGGUUCAAUGUUGUAAAGUCCUCCUCUCCCCUCCUAUCUUGGCUUCAUUAUCCCCUAUACUGUUAGGUAAACUUCUUAUGUACCUUGCACUUAACUAUUAUACUUCCCCUAGCUUACUGAUCUCUUGGGGAAAACCUAGAAACUACCGCAUGUGUAACUAAAUGUACAGUAUCCAUGGUACAGGAGGCAUUUAAUAUAUAUUUUUUAACAAGCUGAAUAAAAAGCUAAUCAAAUGGAAUGACUGAAUAUAGCUACAGUUUUUUAAAAAAGAAAACCUGUUAUUACAUAAUUUAAGGAGCAGUGAGUAAAAGAAACCAACAGUUUAGUGAACAUAGUAUACCUAAGAAAUAUACACAAUAUGCAAAACAUUACAUACAGUAAAAGUUAAAAGUGUAUGCUGUCACACGAACUUCCAAACCUACCAAUUCUGCUACCCUCCCCCUCUCUAAAUUAAAAAAAAAUGAUAUAUAGAACAUUCUUGCUCUUAUCCCUGGACACCCAGCAUCUACAGGUAACAACUUUUAUAUAAUCUCAAUGUUAUUUAACAUAAGUGAACAUGUACAUUUCACUUUUUCACUUAAUAUGUCACUGCAGAGACUGCUCCUCAUGUGUUUUUACUGCAACCUAGUAUUCCAUUGUGUGAAUGUACCAGUUUAUCCAGUUUCACACUGACAGCUCCUGGGUUAUUUUCAAAGUUUGACUAUUAUAAAACAGUCUACAAUGUUACAUAUGCCAUUUGUUUCACAUGUGCAGAUAUAUAGGAUCACUAGAUCGAAGAAUAAAGGCAAUUCUAAUUUUGAUAAAUACCUCCAAAGUGCCCUCCAUAAGUAUUAUUUUGUACUGUAACAAAUAUUCUAUAAAUGCCAGUAUGAUCAUAGUCCUUCCAACAAAGUUCUCAAAUAAAACAACUUAUAAAUGAGCUUGAGCAUUCGUUCAUAAGUAUCAUUUGUUUUUCUGUGAGCUCUCUCUGUUCAUGCCCAUUGCUCAUUUUAAAUUGUGUCCUUUUGAUUUUCUUUAUUUAGAAGAUUUUUAUAUAUUAAUGGUGACUAACACUAAGUAAUACAUGUUGCAAAUACUUUCCAAGUCUCUCAUUUUCUUUUGACUUUAUUUACAAUGCUUUUGCCAUGAAGUACUUCACUUAUGUAGCUGCACUUAUAAAUCUUAUUUUAUAGCAUCUAUGUUUCAGGACAAAGAAAGAUAAAGGUAUAUUUACAAAUCAGUGAGCAAAGGAUGGAUUAAUUAACAAAUGGAAUAACCAACAGUUGGGAGAGAGAAAAUAAAUCAUUUUCAUUUAAAAAAAGAUUAAGGAUUGAAAGAUUUUGGCAGAAUAAGAAAAAAUAUAUAAACAAAUAGAUUUAGUUUCGAGAUUUAGAAUUCCUUUCUAAAAGUAAAUCCAAAGUCAACAUUUUUAAUGGUAAACUUGAUUAAAUUUUAUGUAUCUUUUUGUAUUAAGAAUUUUGCCUUUGUACUAGGAAAAGGGAAACAUUUUAAUGUUGUUUUAGACAUGCUUUCCCAUUGUAAUAAACCCGUCUUCCCUUGGCUCCUAAGGGAAACUUCACUGUCUUCUGAGCCUGCUACUCUUGAUUCCCAACCCCAGCUGACUAGCCUAGGAAAGAGCCAGUCAGGAUGACAGGCUGACAAUUCAUAAGCAUCUGAGCUUUAAAUAUUUAUAACCAAGUGGGAACUAGAACUGGAUCUCUUAAGGAUUCAUGAGAAAGCAGAAACUAUGAAUAAACCUAAACUCUAGUGUAAAGUAGGACACAGAAAGUCAAAGGAGAGAGCAAAACAAUCAGAGGUAAGGUAAUGAUAGAGCAGAAAUGAGAAUAAACAUGGCAAAUAAAAUAAAACAGGGUUUCUCCAGAUGCCUCCAUUUCCCAGUGGCCGUCUAGUUACCAGCCCAGAAAGUUACAGCCACUCACCAGCUCCUUUAGUGGGUUUCCAGUAAAAGUCUUAGCUU